CCCAGACUCCUACGGGAGGCAGCAGUGGGGAAUAUUGCACAAUGGGGGGAACCCUGAUGCAGCGACGCCGCGUGGGCGAGGAAGUAUUUCGGUAUGUAAAGCCCUAUCGGCAGGGAAGAAGAAAUGACGGUACCUGAAUAAGAAGCACCGGCUAAAUACGUGCCAGCAGCCGCGGGAAUACGUAUGGUGCAAGCGUUAUCCGGAUUUACUGGGCAUAAAGGGAGCGCAGGCGGCGCGCCAAGUCUGAUGUGAAACCCCGGGGCUCAACCCCGGGCAUGCAUUGGAAACUGGCGGGCUGGAGUGCCGGAGAGGUAAGCGGAAUUCCUAGUGUAGCGGUGAAAUGCGUAGAUAUUAGGAGGAACACCAGUGGCGAAGGCGGCUUACUGGACGGCAACUGACGCUGAGGCUCGAAAGCGUGGGGAGCAAACAGGAUUAGAUACCCGAGUAU
rnacentral:rRNA from 1 species